rnacentral:rRNA from 1 species
UACGUAGGGGCAAGCGUUGUCCGGAUUUAUUGGGCGUAAAGAGCGUGUAGGCGGCUUUACAGGUCCGUUGUGAAAACUCGAGGCUCAACCUCGAGACGCCGGUGGAAACCGUAAAGCUAGAGUCCGGAAGAGGAGAGUGGAAUUCCUGGUGUAGCGGUGAAAUGCGCAGAUAUCAGGAAGAACACCCGUGGCGAAGGCAAUCCCCUGGGCCUGCACUGACGCUCAUGCACGAAAGCGUGGGGAGCAAACAGG